ACGGCAAAAUCACGUUGAAGCACUGGUUCACGUAGGAUCACCAUAUUUAAGCAACCUUGAGCCCGAUUAGUAACUAGAUUGGUGACCACUUGGUAAUAUCAGGUGCUGUAAU